ensembl:lncRNA
GUACGCUACGGUCACAAGACGCAGGCGUGUGUGAAGGUGUGUGUGAAGGUGAAAGGAAAAGCUCUGGGGCAAGGAACCACCCUUGCUGUCUCUGCCUGGCCGGUUCCCCUCUCUCCACUGGGAUUCUCUGACCCAAACCCUAUUACAGGGGCUGAGUCAUGACUUACUGGUGCUCUUCCAUGCCGUCCCUAGGAGGGGUGCGUCACUUGAGUGGGUUUAGUCGCUGACGUGAUCUUCCUGUCUGGGUUGGCGACCCCCCCUUGGGUUGUGCAGUGGUGGAGAACUUUGUGGGCUAUACUCGGCCUUGUCUCAGGAUGUCCACCUGGCCAUGCUGCUGCUCUAGUUUCAACUGUUCUGCCUGCGGCUAUGGAACCCUGACCUGUUCACCGGACGUGCUACCUGUCCCAGACCUGCUGUUUUCAACUCUCUUGAGACAGCAGGAGCGGUAGAGAUACUCUCAAUGAUUGGCUAUGAAAAGCCAACUGACAUUUACUCCUGAGGUGCUGACUUGUUGCACCCUCGACAACCACUGUGAUGAUUAUUAUUUGACCAUGCUGGUCAUUUAUGAACAUUUGAACAUCUUGGCCAUGUUCUGUUAUAAUCUCCACCUGGCACAGCCAGAAGAGGACUGGCCACCCCUCAUAGCCUGGUUCCUCUCUAGGUUUCUUCCUAGGUUUUGGCCUUUCUAGAGAGUUUUUCCUAGCCACCGUGCUUCUGCACCUGCAUUGCUUGCUGUUUGCGGUUUUAGGCUGGGUUUCUGUUGAGCACUUUGAUAUAUCAGCUGAUGUAAGAAGGGCUAUAUAAAUACAUUUGAUUUGAUAAAUGUGGUAUAAAAUUCCGAUUUCCAAUGUUGAAAGCAAACCAUUUCACUGAAGUUCUCACGUCCUCUGGUUUUCCGACCACAAACAAUCUUUAUUUUAAUACACAUGGAUACACAUUUUGUUAUUAGUCUGGGGCAGAAUUAACCCACCACUGUCACUCAAAAUCAGUUGUCACAUUACGUUAGCUGGAUAUGCACAGUAGACACAUAGUAAACAAACAUGGCUCAGAGCAGAACAUAACCUUGAAAGGACCAAUUAUUGCCCACUAAUCAACCUCAUGUUUUACAUGUGUAAUACAAUGCAGGCAUACUACAGUAAAGUAUUGCUGUGUGUUUUCUGUAGCCUACAUUGCUGUUUUCUUUUGGUCUCGAACAGUGAUCUUUAAAAUCCUUGAUUUUGUGAGCAAUCUUUGUGGAGAAUAACAGUAAUAUUCCUGGUUGAAAUGCGUUGGUUACUACAAUAGCUGUUUAUCAUGUAGAGUAUAAAUUUCAUAGCAAUGCAAAUUCAAUACAAGUAGGGGCGCUGUGAAGAUGACCUGCCAACAGGCGACAAGGACAGAGGAAAAAACACUCCCCUAACCCGGACGACACUGGGCCAUUUGUGAGCCACCCCAUGGGUCUCCCGGUCAUGGUCGGCUGUGACACAGCCUGGGAUCGAACCCGGGGCUGCAGUGGCGCCUUUGCACUCAUUGUUGAAUUUGUGAUUUUCAACUUGUUGUGUAAUGUUUGUCCAAUGGCCAAUGAACACUAUGUUUUAUCUGUAAGUUUUCUUCAUAUGACAAUGAUUGAAAAGGAUUUGCCAGUAGAUUGCCAAAUUGAAGCAUGAUGAUGACUCCUUGCUAGCUAAGCUUUUGAAUGUAUGAUGUUGACAUGAUCAGUCAAAUCACGUUAUAUCUAUCUGUGGCCAAUGACCUUCUUGGAUGGGCACUUCUAAUGUAACUCUAUGGCAGCACCCAAGGGGCUUGAAUUUUCUAGCUCUACCCGUAGAUUUUGCGUUGACGUAGUGUCCCCAUGAGUGACAUAACACUGAGCAUAUCACGGUGCAACUAGAGAACAUUACCAACCCCUACGCUCCUUAUUUUCUACUGGCUGCCCCACCACCACAGAAAGCACUGAGCUAGGCUGAAACACCUGCAUUUUGGAACUGCCUUACUCAAGAAGGCAAAAAAGAGACCAUGUUUGUAUGCGGCUUUAUUUACUCAUUUAUAUACACUACCUUUCAAAUUUUUUUUAUGGAAUAUCUACAUAGGCAUACAGAGGCCCAUUAUUUAGACUAGUUGAGUAUCUGGAGCAUCAGCAAUUGUUGUUUUGACUACAUGCUCAUAAUGGCCAGAAACAAAGUCCUUUUCUUCUGAAACUCGUCAGUCUAUUCUGAGAAAUGAAUUGCUAUUCCAUGCGAGAAAUUGCCAAGAAACUGAAGAUCUGGUACGACGCUGUGUACUACUCCCUUCACAGAACAGUGCAAACUGUCUCUAACCAGAAUAGAAAGGUGAGUGGGAGGCCCUGGUGAACAACUGAGCAACAGGAUAAGUACAUUAGAGUGUUUAGUUUGAGAAACAGACACCUCACAAGUCCUCAACCGACAGCUUCAUUAAAUACACCAGUCUCAACAUCCACAGUGCGGAGGUGACUCCGGGAUGCUGGCCUUCUAGGCAGAGUUCCUAACAAUGCAGUCAAAUGUCAAACAAUUAAAAUGUAAAGAAAAAAAAAUUCCCCCCCAAAAAAUCAAGAUUGACAGUGAGAAUACAAUUAACAACCCAAAUAGCACUGUAUCGGUAUCAAAAUGCAAUCUAUUCAUACUGUAUGUACACCGGGGGAAUUUACACAAGAUAAACUAAGAAUGAUAUGUACAGCAGUAGAUGCAGUGCAUUUGGAAACUAUUCAGACCCCUUGACUUUUUCCACAUUUUGUUACAUUACAGCCUUAUUCUAAAAUGUAUUAAAUUGUUUUUCCCCCUCAUAAAUCUACGCACAAUGCCAAAGCAAAAACAGGUUUUUAGAUUUUUUAGCAAUUUUUUUAACAAUUAAAAAAUUGAAAUAUCACAUUUACAUAAGUAUUCAGACCCUUUACUCACUACUUUGUUGAAGCACCUUUGGCAGUGAUUACAGCCUCGAGUCUUCUUGGGUAUGAAGCUUGGCACACCUGUAUUUGGGGAGUUUCUCCCAUUCUUUUUGCAGAUCCUCUCAAGCUCUCAGGUUGGAUGGUGUGUCGCUGCACA